GCCCAGCUAGCUCAGUAGAGUAUGCGACUCUUAAUCUCAGGGUCGUGGGUUCGUGCCCCACAUUGGGUG
rnacentral:tRNA from 1 species